CAGACGGUCAUGAUGAGUAGAAGAAGGCAACAUGAUGAAGCAAAACUCCAUCACCACUACGUUGGAGUCUUCCCAUUCAGUCAUCAUCCAAUUUGCUCCAAAGAAUCACAUACAAGCAGACGCUUCUUACAGAUGGCUGUCCUCUAGAAUGAAAAUGCACACCAACCACCGGCAAACAUCAAAAGCUAAUCCAACCUUUGGCUUUGUGUGGAAAGGUCUUCGGAAACCCUGUGACUGAUGCAAUGUUGGUGCCCUAGAAGACAAGUCAGCACAGUUCAGACGAGCCAGCCAGAGGAGGUCACCGCCAGCCUUGUAUCGAGGUUCCAGCGUCUUCAUCGGGGAACUCGGCAUGGAUAUGCAAGACGACACUCGAAUCACUGAUGGACAAAUGCCUGAAACGGCUGGAAAAAUAGAAAAGAUGGUUACAGAGACUGUUAUUGCUGUUCUUCUUUCAG